UGGGGAAUAUUGGUCAAUGGGCGAAAGCCUGAACCAGCAAUGCCGCGUGAGUGAUGAAGGCCUUCGGGUUGUAAAGCUCUGUCGGAGGGGACGAAAAAGCCUGGGUCACUCCAGGACUUGACGGUACCUUCAAAGGAAGCACCGGCUAACUCUGUGCCAGCAGCCGCGGUAAUACAGAGGGUGCAAGCGUUGUUCGGAAUUACUGGGCGUAAAGCGCGUGUAGGCUGCAAUGUAAGUCGGAUGUGAAAGCCCUUGGCUCAACCAAGGAAGUGCAUCCGAUACUGCGUCGCUGGAGUGUCGGAGGGGGUGGCGGAAUUCCCGGUGUAGAGGUGAAAUUCGUAGAUAUCGGGAGGAACACCUGUGGCGAAGGCGGCCACCUGGACGACAACUGACGCUGAGACGCGAAAGCGUGGGUAGCAAACAGG
rnacentral:rRNA from 1 species